rnacentral:rRNA from 1 species
GAUGAACGCUGGCGGCGUGCCUAAUACAUGCAAGUCGAGCGAACGGACGAGAAGCUUUCUUCUCUGAUGUUAGCGGCGGACGGGUGAGUAACACGUGGAUAACCUACCUAUAAGACUGGGAUAACUUCGGGAAACCGGAGCUAAUACUGGAUAAUAUUUUCAACCGCAUGGUUCAAAAGUGAAAGACGGUCUUGCUGACACUUAUAGCUGGAUCCGCGCUGCAUUAGCUAGUUGGUAAGGUAACGGCUUACCAAGGCAACGAUGCAUAGCCGACCUGAGAGGGUGAUCGGCCACACUGGAACUGAGACACGGUCCAGACUCCUACGGGAGGCAGCAGUAGGGAAUCUUCCGCAAUGGGCGAAAGCCUGACGGAGCAACGCCGCGUGAGUGAUGAAGGUCUUCGGAUCGUAAAACUCUGUUAUUAGGGAAGAAAAUAUGUGUAAGUAACUGUGCACAUCUUGACGGUACCUAAACAGAAAGCCACGGCUAACUACGUG